rnacentral:rRNA from 1 species
UACGUAGGGAGCAAGCGUUGUCCGGAAUCAUUGGGCGUAAAGCGCACGUAGGCGGUCUGUUAUGUCGGAUGUGAAAGCCCUUGGCUCAACUGAGGAAGUGCAUCCGAAACUGGCAGGCUAGAGUACGAAAGAGGAUCGCGGAAUUCCCGGUGUAGAGGUGAAAUUCGUAGAUAUCGGGAGGAACACCGGUGGCGAAGGCGGCGAUCUGGGUCGAUACUGACGCUGAGGUGCGAAAGCGUGGGGAGCAAACAGG